rnacentral:rRNA from 1 species
GGUGAACGCUGGCGGCGUGCUUAACACAUGCAAGUCGAACGGAAAGGCUCCUGCUUGCAGGGGUACUCGAGUGGCGAGCGGGGGAGUAACACGUGGGUGAUCUGCCCUACACUUCGGGAUAAGCCUGGGAAACUGGGUCUAAUACCGGAUAGGACGCUGGUUUGGAUGCCAUUCUGGAAAGUUUUGCGGUGUGGGAUGAGCUCGCGGCCUAUCAGCUUGUUGGUGGGGUAAUGGCCUACCAAGGCGUCGACGGGUAGCCCGCCUGAGAGGGUGUACGGCGACAUUGGGACUGAGAGACGGACCAGACUCCUACGGGGGGCAGAAGUGGGGAAUAUUGCCCAAUGGGCGCAAGCCUGAUGCAGCGACGCCGCGUGGGGGAUGACGGCCUCCGGGUUGUAAACUCCUUUCGCUAGGGACGAAGCGCAAGUGACGGUACCUGGAGAAGAAGCACCGGCUAACUACGUG